GGGCUCAAUUUGGAAGUACAUAUUCUAAAAUGUGAAAAUACAAAAAAAAAUCAGCAUGUCUCCUACACAAGAAUGAUAUGUGAAUUUGUGGAGCAUCCUAUAUUUAU